CUUGGAAAGUGUGUAGUGUGCAGCAGGCCCAGGAAGUAUGCACACCUGUCGGCAGACAACUGCCUCCUCUAGAGUAAGAAACAGGUAAGAAGCCUGCUUAAAACACGCGCCUGUCUGCAGCUGAGUGCCUCUCCUCUAGGAUAAAACAGCUUAAAUAUCUAAAAUGACAGGAAGGGGAGCCUGAGAAGCCCUCCCCCCCCC